rnacentral:rRNA from 1 species
CUUGGCGACCAUAGCGUUUCGUACCCACCUGACUCCAUUACGAACUCAGAAGUGAAACGAAAUAGCGCCGAUGGUAGUGUGGGGCUUCCCCAUGUGAGAGUAGGACAUCGCCAGGC